ACAGAGGGUGCGAGCGUUAAUCGGAAUUACUGGGCGUAAAGCGCACGUAGGUGGCUUUGCAAGUCGAUUGUGAAAUCCCCGGGCUCAACCUGGGCACUGCAGUUGAAACUGACAAGCUAGAGUAGGGUAGAGGGGUGUGGAAUUCCAGGUGUAGCGGUGAAAUGCGUAGAUAUCUGGAGGAACAUCAGUGGCGAAGGCGACACCCUGGACUCAUACUGACACUGAGGUGCGAAAGCGUGGGGAGCAAACAGGA
rnacentral:rRNA from 1 species